rnacentral:lncRNA from 1 species
AGAAAAUGCCAUUAUGACAUAUAUGUGGAAAGACCAUGGUCAUGGCACAUUCUGGAAAUGAUGGAUGAGUCGCAUUUGUCUACUAAGGUUUUUGUGUGCCUUAGGGUGAUGAUGGGCAAACCUCAGACAAUGCUAAGUUUCGGUAAAUCUAUAUCGUCAAACACGAUAAUUUAUGUGGUGUCUUGGUGGCAAGCCAAACCAAACCAAACUAGGCCUUUUUGGCAAAUUAUCUGAAAGCGUAUUAUUCGGAAAACCUUAGUGGC